rnacentral:rRNA from 1 species
AACCUUUACAAUGCACGCAAGUGCGAUAAGGGGACCCCGAGUGUUGGUGCCUAGCAUCAACUGUCUAACUGUCUAAAAAACAGUUAUUAGCAAGAGCCGGGUAAGACGGGUGCCAGCCGCCGCGGUAAUACCCGCAGCCCAAGUGGUGAUCGUUAUUAUUGGGUUUAAAACGUCCGUAGCUGAUCUAGUAAAUUCCUGGGUAAAUCGAAUUGCUUAACAAUCCGAAUUCCGGGGAGACUGCUAGACUUGGGACCGGAAGAGGUCAGAAGUACUUCCGGGGUAGG